AGAGUUUGAUCAUGGCUCAGGAUGAACGCUAGCGGCAGGCUUAACACAUGCAAGUCGAGGGGCAGCGCGGGAUAGCGAUAUCCUGGCGGCGACCGGCGGAAGGGUGCGUAACGCGUGAGCGACAUGCCCGUUGCCCGGGGACAACCGGUGGAAACGCCGACUAAUCCCCGAUGGGAUACGAUGCUUCAUGGCAUUGUAUUGAAAGUUACGGCGGCGACGGAUUGGCUCGCGUCCGAUUAGCUUGUUGGCGGGGUAACGGCCCACCAAGGCUACGAUCGGUAGGGGUUCUGAGAGGAAGGCCCCCCACAAUGGGACUGAGACACGGCCCAUACUCCUACGGGAGGCAGCAGUGAGGAAUAUUGGUCAAUGGGCGGAAGCCUGAACCAGCCAUGCCGCGUGCGGGAAGGAGGCCCUAUGGGCUGUGAACCGCUUUUGCCUGGGGGCAAUAAGGGCGUCGCGCACGUCCGAUGAGAGUACCAGGCGAAUAAGCAUCGGCUAACUCCGUGCCAGCAGCCGCGGUAAUACGGGGGAUGCGAGCGUUAUCCGGAUUCAUUGGGUUUAAAGGGUGCGUAGGCUGUGCGUCAAGUCGGGGGUGAAAUUCCGGUGCUCAACACCGGGGCUGCCCUUGAUACUGUCGCGCUGGAGUGCGGAUGCCGCCGGAGGAAUGAGUGGUGUAGCGGUGAAAUGCUUAGAUAUCACUCAGAACACCGAUUGCGAAGGCAUCCGGCGAAUCCGUAACUGACGCUGAGGCACGAAAGCGUGGGGAUAGAACAGGAUUAGAUACCCUGGUAUUCCACGCCGUAAACGAUGAUGGCUAACCGCCGGCGACACACUGUCGGUGGCCAAGCGAAAGCGAUAAGCCAUCCACCUGGGGAGUACGUCGGCAACGAUGAAACUCAAAGGAAUUGACGGGGGCCCGCACAAGCGGAGGAACAUGUGGUUUAAUUCGAUGAUACGCGAGGAACCUUACCCGGGCUUGAAUUGCAGAGGAAGGAUUUGGAGACAAUGACGCCCUUCGGGGUCUCUGUGAAGGUGCUGCAUGGUUGUCGUCAGCUCGUGCCGUGAGGUGUCGGCUUAAGUGCCAUAACGAGCGCAACCCCUCUCCUUAGUUGCCAUCAGGUUAAGCUGGGCACUCUGGGGACACUGCCACCGUAAGGUGUGAGGAAGGUGGGGAUGACGUCAAAUCAGCACGGCCCUUACGUCCGGGGCUACACACGUGUUACAAUGGCAGGUACAGAGAGACGGUUGUACGUAAGUACGAUCAAAUCCUUAAAGCCUGUCCCAGUUCGGACUGGGGUCUGCAACCCGACCCCACGAAGCUGGAUUCGCUAGUAAUCGCGCAUUAGCCAUGGCGCGGUGAAUACGUUCCCGGGCCUUGUACACACCGCCCGUCAAGCCAUGAAAGCCGGGGGCGCCUAAAGUCCGUGACCGUAAGGAGCGGCCUAGGGCGAAACUGGUAAUUGGGGCUAAGUCGUAACAAGGUA
rnacentral:rRNA from 1 species